rnacentral:lncRNA from 1 species
CUUCCGGGCCCCCCCUUAUAUUCCUACUUGUUCUUAUUUCUUGUUUUUCCAUCUCUUUGAAAUUUUCACAGACCUAAUACUCUUUCAUUUGGGAUUCAGUUGGAUGUAACUUUCUAGCUACUUCUAUGGGCUUUUUUUCUCCUCGUUUUCUUAGAGGGGUACAGUUUAUGUGACUACGUUUGGAUUUUUUAAAUAUUAUCUCAAAUACAAUACUUGAUAACACCCUUAAUUGUGCUUCAGUUAAUAUCAUCCACUUUUUUUUUUUUUAAGUUUAUUUAUUCUGAGAGAGACAGAGAGUGAGCAGGGGCGGGGCGGAGAGACAGGGAGACAGAAGGAAUCCCAAGCGGGCUCCACACUGUCAGCGCGGAGCCCGAGGCGGGACUGGAACUCACGAACCGUGAGAUCAUGACCUGAGCUGAAACCAAGAGCCAGACACUUAAUCGACUGAGCCCCCCAGACGCUUCAGUCCAUUUGCUUUUUACCAGCCUGAGCCUGGGUACCUCGCUGUCUGUUGGACUCCUGCUUUUCGGUAGAAUUAGCCUGCUCUCACGAACUAACUUAUCCUGGAGGACCAAGGCCAAGGAGUCGAGGUAUUUGCAGCAUGCCCAGAAUAUUUUGACACGCAUCCGAAAGCAGAAGUGUAAACCGGGAAGGAUUUGUGCUGGAUUCGCUCGUCUUGAGAGGCAGCCCAGUGUGCUGCCCGUGUGGGAUAGAUCGAUCUGUGCGUUGGAGAUGUAAAGAGGGAGAGAGAGGAACCCGUCCUGGGCGGUUCUCAAUUCCAGCGGUGGAGGCAGGACAUGAACAGAAACCAGCAUCAAACGUUUGUUUCAGAGCAAGACGGUGUGUAAGUCAGAGGAGAAGGAAUCCCGAAGCAAAGCAUACCUUCGCCGCUUACGUCCCACGUAUUCUGCUUCUCUGGCCAACAUGGACUUCUCCAGGAGGAUUAACCUUCCAGAACACACAAGAGAUGAGCCUGCUUCUUCUAGGAUGGCCACAGUACCUCUGACUUUGGAACAAGCAAUUCAGACUCACCACGUUGUGGUUCGCUCGUGUGUCUUCUCUGCCCGGGGGUUAGAUGAUGCAGUUCCCGGGCGAGCAAAGGAGGAUUCGAGUGGAAGGGAAAGCAGGGGACGCUGGAGGAUGGGAGGUUGCGGUCAGAGCGGGAUGCCCAGCACGAUCUCUGAGUCUGAGCAGCUCUGGGCAAAGCCCAGAGGAGGCCAGGACAGCAAGGCGAUAUUGGACCAACUACGUGGACCAGGAAUGAGACCGUAGCAUCACCUUGAUGAAAAGGACGAAGAAAUGUUGAAACUCCCAAAGAAGCAAUUAAAUGGCAGAUUUCUUUUUCUUUAGUUCAAAGUUAUGAUAAGCAACAAUAGCAUCAUCCACUAAAUAACAUAUUCAUUAUAAACGUAACAUUUUCCAUACAGAAACCUGGAACCAUGAAUGAGAAGACGUAGAAAAAGAAGAAUAAAACUCACAGAGGGAUGAGAUCA